rnacentral:rRNA from 1 species
GUCUGUGGCCGUAUCUUCCUAUAUGCAGUGAUCUCCUCAGCUAAGGAGGGUCAGACUUGGUUAGUACUUGAAUGGGAGACCAGCUGUGGGUACCCAGUGCUUUAGGCC